GUGCUCGCUUCAGCAGCGCAUGCACUGAAAUUGGAACAAUACGGAGAAGAUUAGUGUGGUGGACCCUGUGCGAGGACGACAUGCGAGUUCAUGAAGCAUUCCACAUUUUC
ensembl:snRNA U6 U6 spliceosomal RNA